UUGAACGCUGGCGGAAUGCUUUGCACAUGCAAGUCGAGCGGCAGCGCGGGGCAACCUGGCGGCGAGCGGCGAACGGGUGAGUAACACAUCGGAACGUACCCAAUCGUGGGGGAUAACACAUUGAAAGAUGUGCUAAUACCGCAUAAGUCCUGAGGGAGAAAGCGGGGGAUCGCAAGACCUCGCGCGAUAGGAGCGGCCGAUAUCGGAUUAGCUUGUUGGUGAGGUAAAGGCUCACCAAGGCGACGAUCCGUAGCUGGUCUGAGAGGACGACCAGCCACACUGGAACUGAGACACGGCCCAGACUCCUACGGGAGGCAGCAGUGGGGAAUUUUGGACAAUGGGCGCAAGCCUGAUCCAGCCAUGCCGCGUGAGUGAAGAAGGCCUUCGGGUUGUAAAGCUCUUUCAGACGGAAAGAAAUCGGGCGGGUGAAUAGCCUGCCUGGAUGACGGUACUGUCAGAAGAAGCACCGGCUAACUACGU
rnacentral:rRNA from 1 species